CUUACAUCAACUGACAGGCAGGCAGGGCAAGUUUUCUGCAGCAUAACACGUAGUAAGGUAACACCAUAUGAAAAAGGGACCAGAAAACCGUAAGAUGGCAAAUUUCUUGAGCUUGACUAAAGUGUGUGUCUUGAUAUCAGUGACUGCAACUCAAGUCGGUUUUUCUCUCGGUCGUGAGGUCAUGUUUGCGGUAGAUUUUAAAGGCAUUUCUAUUUCGGAUAUCGAUCACUCUAAUCCUUCUGUUCUUAAUUUUACGGUAA